rnacentral:rRNA from 1 species
AGAGUUUGAUCAUGGCUCAGAAUCAACGCUGGCGGCGCGCUUAACACAUGCAAGUCGAACGCGAAAGCCUGACUUCGGUUGGGCAAGUAGAGUGGCAAACGGGUGAGUAACACGUGGAUAACCUACCCUCGAGUGGGGAAUAACCCCGGGAAACUGGGGCUAAUACCGCAUACGAUCCAUCGGACUAAGUCCGGUGGCUGAAAGCCUUCGGGCGCUGGAGGAGGGGUCCGCGGCCGAUUAGCUAGUUGGCGGGGUAAAAGCCCACCAAGGCACAGAUCGGUAGCCGGCCUGAGAGGGCGCACGGCCACACUGGCACUGAGACACGGGCCAGACUCCUACGGGAGGCAGCAGUGGGGAAUCUUGGACAAUGGGCGAAAGCCUGAUCCAGCGACGCCGCGUGACUGAUGAAGCCUUUCGGGGUGUAAAAGUCUUUCGGCAGGGACAAUAAUGAUGGUACCUGCAGAAGCAG